rnacentral:rRNA from 1 species
GACGAACGCUGGCGGCGUGCUUAACACAUGCAAGUCGAACGGAAAGGCCCUGCUUUUGUGGGGUGCUCGAGUGGCGAACGGGUGAGUAACACGUGAGUAACCUGCCCUUGACUUUGGGAUAACUUCAGGAAACUGGGGCUAAUACCGGAUAGGAGCUCCUGCUGCAUGGUGGGGGUUGGAAAGUUUCGGCGGUUGGGGAUGGACUCGCGGCUUAUCAGCUUGUUGGUGGGGUAGUGGCUUACCAAGGCUUUGACGGGUAGCCGGCCUGAGAGGGUGACCGGCCACAUUGGGACUGAGAUACGGCCCAGACUCCUACGGGAGGCAGCAGUGGGGAAUAUUGCACAAUGAGCGGAAGCCUGAUGCAGCGACGCCGCGUGCGGGAUGACGGCCUUCGGGUUGUAAACCGCUUUCGCCUGUGACGAAGCGUGAGUGACGGUAAUGGGUAAAGAAGCACCGGCUAACUACGUG